rnacentral:rRNA from 1 species
CACGUAGGGUGCGAGCGUUGUCCGGAAUUAUUGGGCGUAAAGGGCGCGUAGGCGGUGCGGUAAGUCACCUGUGAAAUCUCUGGGCUCAACUCAGAGUCUGCAGGCGAAACUGCCGUGCUGGAGUAUGGGAGAGGUGCGUGGAAUUCCCGGUGUAGCGGUGAAAUGCGUAGAUAGUCGGGAGGAACACCUGUGGCGAAAGCGGCGCACUGGACCAUAACUGACGCUGAGGCGCGAAAGCUAGGGGAGCAAACAGG